UUCUUCUCAGGAUUGUGCCUGGAGAGUUUCCAGUACUCUACCAGUUUGGGCUAUGGGAGGGAAAGCCAUGUAGAGGCCUAUGCAUUGCAUUCCUAGCUUGGGCAGUGGCUAGCGAGUGGAAGGCAAUCUGCUACAAGU